rnacentral:rRNA from 1 species
GCGUUAUCCGGAUUCACUGGGUUUAAAGGGUGCGUAGGUGGGUCUGUAAGUCAGUGGUGAAAUCUCCGGGCUUAACCCGGAAACUGCCAUUGAUACUAUAGGUCUUGAAUCUUCUGGAGGUUAGCGGAAUAUGUCAUGUAGCGGUGAAAUGCGUAGAUAUGACAUAGAACACCAAUUGCGAAGGCAGCUGGCUGCAGGAGCAUUGACACUGAGGCACGAAAGCGUG